AAAAUGCAUAGAACCAUUGCUGCGGUUAAAAAGCUCGUAGUUGGAUCUGUGCCGGCGACGUGGUCCACCCGAAAGGGCGGCACUGCGCUCGUUGGCUUUGGGCCGGUCUUCGUGCGGUCGCCUUCAUCGGUGGCCGUGCGUGGCUGGCUGGUUUACUUUGAGCAAAUCAGAGUGCUCAGCACAGGCGUUUCGCCGGAAUGUUCGUGCAUGGAAUAAUAGAAAAGGAUUUCGGUCCUCUUUUAUUGGUUUUGUGGACUGAGAUAAUGGUUAACAGAGACGAACGGGGGCAUUCGUAUUGCUGCGUGAGAGGUGAAAUUCUUGGACCGCAGCAGGACGGACUACAG
rnacentral:rRNA from 1 species